rnacentral:rRNA from 1 species
ACGGCGAGUGAAGCGGGAUGAGCUCAAAUUUAAAAUCUGGCCGGUUUACUGGUCCGAAUUGUAGUUUAAAGAAGCGUUUUCGGUGGCAGCCUGGGUAUAAAUCCUUUGGAAUAGGGUAUCAUAGAGGGUGAGAAUCCCGUCUUUGACUCAGUGCAUGCUACUAUGUGAUACGUUUUCAAAGAGUCGAGUUGUUUGGGAAUGCAGCUCAAAAUGGGUGGUAAAUCUCAUCUAAGGCUAAAUAUUGGCGAGAGACCGAUAGCGAACAAGUACCGUGAGGGAAAGAUGAAAAGAACUUUGAAAAGAGAGUUAAACAGUGCGUGAAAUUGUUGAAGGGGAAACGUUUGACACCAGUCAUGCGGGCGGAAAAUCAGUCUUUUGUAGUGGGGAAGCGCGUGGGUUCAGACCGCAAGGCUGGCCCAUGUGUUCUCUCUGCUGCAAGUGAUGCACUUUUUCGUCUGCAGGCCAACAUCAGUUUCUUCUGCUGGACAAAACUCUAAGAGAAGGUAGCAGCUUAGGCUGUGUUAUAGCUCUGGAGCGAUACAGUGGAGGGGACUGAGGUUUUCGCAGCAUGUGCUCUCGGGCAAGGCGGAUUGGGUGCUAUGGGAUCGUUCGGCGUACAAUGCAUGCAUCUUGCGCCG